CAUCCUGGGGCUGGAGUAGGUCCCAAGGGUUGGGCUGUUCGCCCAUUAAAGCGGUACGCGAGCUGGGUUUAGAACGUCGUGAGACAGUUCGGUCCCUAUCCGCCGCGCGCGCAGGAGACUUGAGAAGGGCUGUCCCUAGUACGAGAGGACCGGGACGGACGAACCUCUGGUGUGACAGUUGUCGUGCCAACGGCACUGCUGUUUAGCUACGUUCGGUAGGGAUAACCGCUGAAAGCAUCUAAGCGGGAAGCCUGCUUCAAGAUGAGGUCUCCCACAGGGUUAACCUGGUAAGGCCCCCGACUAGACCAUCGGGUUGAUAGGCCGGAAGUGGAAGUGCGGCAACGCAUGCAGCUGACCGGUACUAAUAGGCCGAGGGCUUGACCAC
rnacentral:rRNA from 1 species